rnacentral:rRNA from 1 species
CACACGACUCUCGGCAACGGAUAUCUCGGCUCUCGCAUCGAUGAAGAACGUAGCGAAAUGCGAUACCUGGUGUGAAUUGCAGAAUCCCGCGAACCAUCGAGUCUUUGAACGCAAGUUGCGCCCGAGGCCAUCUGGCCGAGGGCACGCCUGCCUGGGCGUCACGC